GUGUCCAUAACAAUUUGUUAAAAUUUAAUGAAAAAAAUAAAAUAAAUUUGACUAACCUAGUAGUUAUUUCAUAUUAUUAUUUUUCGAUGUGUGUAAACAAAUACCUCUGCGUACCUUUGCGCAUGCGCGAUGCGGGAAAUUGGAAACAUCAUAACAAAAAUGGCGAACACCCGAUCUAAGUGGAAGGGUCCUGAAUCAGUUUUAACCGAGAGCACGAAGAAACGAAUAAUCGAGAACGUGAUUUUAACUUCACAAAGACGAACACGUAUCUUAGAGACAGAGCAAGCAGAUGGCAUCAGUUAAAAAAGACCGAAGGGAUUAAAACAGACCCUCCUUUGGCCAAGCUAAUGCCUUGAACAGUUUUGAAAGCAAGUCUGAGAUCUAGAGCGUACGUAGAUCUGGUCAUAAAGAAACUGAAGCCAAUGAAGAUGACCACAGGCGACAUGGAGUACAUGCAGCCACUACGGACGACACUAUUACUAGUCGCACUUACAUAUCACAGGAUUUAUAACACAAAAGUUCUUGGAGGACAAAAAGUGCCGUACAAGGUGGAAAGGACAUACCAACACAUCCAGGGACUCAUCAAUCUGAUAGUGGCCAACAGAAUAACAGAUAGAACUGGAAUAUCUAGCCAAAACCCUUGCAUCAAAUAGAUCCCAGAAGAUUCAAACUCCUAGCCCAUGCUCCUCCACCAUCUACUGCCCAAAUGGUAGAGGAGAAGAAAUCCCAAUUAAGAUGAAUGGGAAUAAUUGACAUUUUGAGACUAAUCACGUUCCAGAGACUAUUACUUUUGAAUAUCUGUCCUUACGUUUAGUAGCUGACCUGGUCCGAAGGACCAAGGUGAGUAUGCCAUACUGAGGCGUCCGGCAUUCGUCUGUCAACAUUGUGAACACAAUAUUUGAAUAACUUGAGUAAAUGUCAGAAUAUACCAAAUUUGAUAAAACUUUAUAAGCAGCCAUAUAUCGACAAGAUCUCAGACAACUUCAAAAAUAGAAAUUAUUGGACAGUAGUUUUUGACAGUAGUUUGCAGAGUUAUUGCCCUUUGUAAUGGUCUUAUUAUUAACAUUUUUUUAGUUCACUGGUCAGAAUGGAAACUCUUUUAGAAAUUCUACUAGUCCUGAACAAUUAAAUGGAUUUGAUGAAAUUUGGUCAGGAGAAUUAUGUGGCAAUGUUAUAUGUUGCAUAAAUGAAGCGUCACCAUCAUCUGAGUGGCACCUUUCGGGGCAAAAUAAGAGAAUUACCUGGUAUAGCAAAAAAAAAAAGGAUUUAACUCAUUUUUUUUUUCAAGAAUUACAUCUAGUCCACUUGUAGUUUGAACCAUUGUUGGGAGAGGUAGUUCAAAAGUAGAAAAAUGUUUGAAAUGUAACUUAAAUUUGAGUAUUAUGUCAUCAUUACUGAAUUAUCCAGGUUAGCGAUGCAGGCCCUUUGGGCCUUUAGUUUAUUGGUAUAAUGUUACUAUAAUAGCUUAGCUGUUAUCCAUUCCAUUAAUGUCAUAUGAUAAUCAGUGCAGCCUUAAUUUCAAAAUUUAUAUAAUCUCAAGAGACAAACAACAUUGUCUGGUCUGAAAUUUAAAUGCUUAGUCAAAAAUGAUUAUUCAUAGCUGUACAUGUGUGCACUAUUGAAAUAUUCAUGUUAACACUCACAAGUAAUUUAUAAACUCUCAAAAUUCAUUGAUGUCAACACCCACUAGUGCUCAAUAGUCUUUAAUGUCAACACACACUAGUACUCAAUAGUCAUGGAUGACAACACUCACUAGUAGUAGUACUCAAUAGUCAUUUAUGUCAACACUCACUAAUACUCAUGUCAUAUAUGUCAACACUCACUAAUACUCAAUAGUCAUGGAUGACAACACUCACUAGUACUCAUUAGUAACGUAUGUCAACACUCCAUAAUACUCAAGUCAUGUAUGUCAACACUCCAUAAUACUCAAUAGUCAUUGAUGUCAACACUCAAUUAUCACUGAUGCCAACAAUUGUCAUUGAUGUUAAGUCACUAGUCAUGGCAGUCAACUUUCUCUAGUCAUUGAUGCCAAUGCUUACAUCUGAGCAAGACAAUAAAUACAAUGUGGUAAAUUCUUUAUUUGCA